GGGUUGUGAGGUUAAGCGACUAAGCGUACACGGUGGAUGCCCUGGCAGUCAGAGGCGAUGAAGGACGUGCUAAUCUGCGAUAAGCGUCGGUAAGGUGAUAUGAACCGUUAUAACCGGCGAUUUCCGAAUGGGGAAACCCAGUGUGUUUCGACACACUAUCAUUAACUGAAUCCAUAGGUUAAUGAGGCGAACCGGGGGAACUGAAACAUCUAAGUACCCCGAGGAAAAGAAAUCAACCGAGAUUCCCCCAGUAGCGGCGAGCGAACGGGGAGCAGCCCAGAGCCUGAAUCAGUGUGUGUGUUAGUGGAAGCGUCUGGAAAGGCGCGCGAUACAGGGUGACAGCCCCGUACACAAAAAUGCACAUGCUGUGAGCUCGAUGAGUAGGGCGGGACACGUGGUAUCCUGUCUGAAUAUGGGGGGACCAUCCUCCAAGGCUAAAUACUCCUGACUGACCGAUAGUGAACCAGUACCGUGAGGGAAAGGCGAAAAGAACCCCGGCGAGGGGAGUGAAAAAGAACCUGAAACCGUGUACGUACAAGCAGUGGGAGCACGCUUAGGCGUGUGACUGCGUACCUUUUGUAUAAUGGGUCAGCGACUUAUAUUCUGUAGCAAGGUUAACCGAAUAGGGGAGCCGAAGGGAAACCGAGUCUUAACUGGGCGUUAAGUUGCAGGGUAUAGACCCGAAACCCGGUGAUCUAGCCAUGGGCAGGUUGAAGGUUGGGUAACACUAACUGGAGGACCGAACCGACUAAUGUUGAAAAAUUAGCGGAUGACUUGUGGCUGGGGGUGAAAGGCCAAUCAAACCGGGAGAUAGCUGGUUCUCCCCGAAAGCUAUUUAGGUAGCGCCUCGUGAAUUCAUCUCCGGGGGUAGAGCACUGUUUCGGCAAGGGGGUCAUCCCGACUUACCAACCCGAUGCAAACUGCGAAUACCGGAGAAUGUUAUCACGGGAGACACACGGCGGGUGCUAACGUCCGUCGUGAAGAGGGAAACAACCCAGACCGCCAGCUAAGGUCCCAAAGUCAUGGUUAAGUGGGAAACGAUGUGGGAAGGCCCAGACAGCCAGGAUGUUGGCUUAGAAGCAGCCAUCAUUUAAAGAAAGCGUAAUAGCUCACUGGUCGAGUCGGCCUGCGCGGAAGAUGUAACGGGGCUAAACCAUGCACCGAAGCUGCGGCAGCGACGCUUAUGCGUUGUUGGGUAGGGGAGCGUUCUGUAAGCCUGCGAAGGUGUGCUGUGAGGCAUGCUGGAGGUAUCAGAAGUGCGAAUGCUGACAUAAGUAACGAUAAAGCGGGUGAAAAGCCCGCUCGCCGGAAGACCAAGGGUUCCUGUCCAACGUUAAUCGGGGCAGGGUGAGUCGACCCCUAAGGCGAGGCCGAAAGGCGUAGUCGAUGGGAAACAGGUUAAUAUUCCUGUACUUGGUGUUACUGCGAAGGGGGGACGGAGAAGGCUAUGUUGGCCGGGCGACGGUUGUCCCGGUUUAAGCGUGUAGGCUGGUUUUCCAGGCAAAUCCGGAAAAUCAAGGCUGAGGCGUGAUGACGAGGCACUACGGUGCUGAAGCAACAAAUGCCCUGCUUCCAGGAAAAGCCUCUAAGCAUCAGGUAACAUCAAAUCGUACCCCAAACCGACACAGGUGGUCAGGUAGAGAAUACCAAGGCGCUUGAGAGAACUCGGGUGAAGGAACUAGGCAAAAUGGUGCCGUAACUUCGGGAGAAGGCACGCUGAUAUGUAGGUGAAGCGACUUGCUCGUGGAGCUGAAAUCAGUCGAAGAUACCAGCUGGCUGCAACUGUUUAUUAAAAACACAGCACUGUGCAAACACGAAAGUGGACGUAUACGGUGUGACGCCUGCCCGGUGCCGGAAGGUUAAUUGAUGGGGUCAGCGCAAGCGAAGCUCUUGAUCGAAGCCCCGGUAAACGGCGGCCGUAACUAUAACGGUCCUAAGGUAGCGAAAUUCCUUGUCGGGUAAGUUCCGACCUGCACGAAUGGCGUAAUGAUGGCCAGGCUGUCUCCACCCGAGACUCAGUGAAAUUGAACUCGCUGUGAAGAUGCAGUGUACCCGCGGCAAGACGGAAAGACCCCGUGAACCUUUACUAUAGCUUGACACUGAACAUUGAGCCUUGAUGUGUAGGAUAGGUGGGAGGCUUUGAAGUGUGGACGCCAGUCUGCAUGGAGCCGACCUUGAAAUACCACCCUUUAAUGUUUGAUGUUCUAACGUUGACCCGUAAUCCGGGUUGCGGACAGUGUCUGGUGGGUAGUUUGACUGGGGCGGUCUCCUCCUAAAGAGUAACGGAGGAGCACGAAGGUUGGCUAAUCCUGGUCGGACAUCAGGAGGUUAGUGCAAUGGCAUAAGCCAGCUUGACUGCGAGCGUGACGGCGCGAGCAGGUGCGAAAGCAGGUCAUAGUGAUCCGGUGGUUCUGAAUGGAAGGGCCAUCGCUCAACGGAUAAAAGGUACUCCGGGGAUAACAGGCUGAUACCGCCCAAGAGUUCAUAUCGACGGCGGUGUUUGGCACCUCGAUGUCGGCUCAUCACAUCCUGGGGCUGAAGUAGGUCCCAAGGGUAUGGCUGUUCGCCAUUUAAAGUGGUACGCGAGCUGGGUUUAGAACGUCGUGAGACAGUUCGGUCCCUAUCUGCCGUGGGCGCUGGAGAACUGAGGGGGGCUGCUCCUAGUACGAGAGGACCGGAGUGGACGCAUCACUGGUGUUCGGGUUGUCAUGCCAAUGGCACUGCCCGGUAGCUAAAUGCGGAAGAGAUAAGUGCUGAAAGCAUCUAAGCACGAAACUUGCCCCGAGAUGAGUUCUCCCUGACUCCUUGAGAGUCCUGAAGGAACGUUGAAGACGACGACGUUGAUAGGCCGGGUGUGUAAGCGCAGCGAUGCGUUGAGCUAACCGGUACUAAUGAACCGUGAGGCUUAACCUUACAACGCCGAAG
rnacentral:rRNA from 1 species